AAUUUCAUAAAUUUAAAAGAAAUUUUAUUUAAUGUCAGAGUAACGUUGACUCCCACUGCAUCCCGGGGGAGACCCGCAAGCUGACCCGCGUUAAAAAACUGUUAGAAUGGUUUGUUUUAGUGUUCUGGCUCAACAUUUUCCUAACUCCGUUGAAAACACAGAAGGCGGCUUUUCCGGUUCGUCGUCAGCGAAGCAAACAUCCGGAGCUGGAAACAUUUGAAUCCAGCAACAGAACUUCCAGUGAUGUGACUGAUUUCAUCAUAAACAAGACCAAGAAAAGCUGCAGUCGACCCAGCGGCCUCUACCUCAGCAGCAUCUCUUCCCUUUUCCACACCGCUUGUCUUUUUAUAGAAAUACUUUCCGAGUUAACAAUAAAGAGAUGAGUCAAGCAUG